AUGAAGUAUAGCAGUGCCACCCAAUGCAACAGGGACCUGUUUCAUACUCGGUGAGGGGACUUGGUACUCUGAAGUGGAAAGACCAUUUAAUAUCAACCAGUCGCUGACUUUUCGGGCUGGAAGGCCUGUGAAUAUGUACUCCUGAGGGUCUGAGACUACAACUGGGAGAAUUCAGGUUCCCCAGAAUCCUAAAGUUACAGCAGAGAAUAUGAGCCAGGGUCUUAAAGGACUUGCUCAACUUGGACAAGAACAACAACAAAGAACAAAGCCCAGGACACUGGUUAUUUGUGCCAGUCAGAGGGCAGACGAGGAGACUCUUCCAAACUGAACUGCACAGAUUCUUGCUCCUUCCAUGCCCCAGAGAGCUUCAGGACAGCGCUGUGAGAAGCUGGGGGUUUGCAGCCGCAGUGAAUUUUACACAAAGCCUGACACAAGGUAUGUCUAUGCAUCAUGAGUGCUUGGUGCCCUCAAAGGCCAGAAGAAGGUGUCAGAUUCCCUUCACCCGGAAUCCUAGACAGCGGUGAGCUACCAUGUGAGUGCUAGGAAUCAAACCUGGGUC
rnacentral:lncRNA from 1 species